CUCAACAACCAGUACCUAUAUUUAUAUUUAAAAAAUAUAGAAAAUAUGGGUUAGUACAAAAAUGCACUAAGUAUGGUAGUGAUGCAUAAAAUCAUUGAAAACAUGCUAAAGGGGUACAUUUAACUUAAAACCAUGUUUAUCAAGUUUAAGAGUCACCAUGCACAUUAGUGUAGAAACAUAAGUCAAACCAUCUCAUAACAACCCUAAGCUAUACAUGUUCAAUGUUUAGAUAAGGUCCCAUAAUCCAAUCUAAUACUAAGUACGUCUUUGGAUCACCAAAGUCAUACUUGCCAUAAUUUUACCUCAUCAAUAGUCAAUAUUCAAAACAAGGGAACAUUCAUGUUCAUUAACUAAUAUCAAGAAAGUUACUUAUAGAAAAAAUCCAUAUAAAUCAUGAAUAAAUCAUAAGUCUUCAUAGCAUAAGGGAACCACACCAAAACCCCUCUCAAGGUCUACUUGUGUCAUAUAUGAAGUCGUAUACCCACUCUCACACUAUGUAUAUCCUUUUUGAGAAGUCAUAAAUGAUAGUCCAGAAUCAUUUUCUUAUCAUAGUUCAUAUUUUUGUCAUGUAAAUAAAAUAGCCUUAACCGACAUAGACCAUGUGAUCUACAUAGAAUCCGGUGUCAUGUCCCACAUUGAAAGAGAGGUCCUACUUUCCUAAGGUAGACUUAAAUGUAUUAUACUUUAGGUGGAUACAUCAACUAAAUACCUAUGUGGGCACAUAACUAUGGGAUGGAGAUAUUGUUCGUGGAAGUCCGGCCUUUUGAAUUGACGAUAUGAGCUUCCAUUCCAUGAGGUUAACUUUAAAAACUCAGCCUAUUCAAUUUAUAGGGGGGAUCUACCUCAUAUUUCAUAUCCACUCGGUGCUAAGCAUUACUUCCAAAAAAUUUACUUGUUUAGUCUUGAAUUAAGUUAUCAUGUUAUCAUGCCUCAAAGAUUUCCAACAUAAUUCAUAAAGUAGCUCAUAGAUUCAAUCGGUGAGAAUGGACUUUCAACCGUAGAAUCAUCAUUAAAAUGUGAGUAAACAUUCCACAUCAUGUGCAUAGUGUGUUCACGAGAAUAGUCUUUCAAUCAACAUAACAAUAUCAUAAUAGUCACGAAUACUUCAUGCAAAAUCAUGUGUAACAAUAUAGUGUAAGACCCCAAAAUGAGAUAGGGUGUUUAGAUACUAACAUGUUUUUAUUAAAUUUGUAGUCCUAAAUAUGUUUAAAAUAUAGUAUAUGGGUAGUAGCUAAAAUAUUAGAGGUAUUGGAAGUCGAACGUUAAGGGACGACUAAGACGUUCGACGACUAAGUCACCUAGAUACCUAAAUGUGGUUCUAUGUGUUUAUGGGUGUUUCAUGAUUUUCUAAGGUCCUAAAAUGUCUUAUUAUAUGGAUUAGAGACAGUGUACAAAUUUUGAAGUGAUUUUGAAGUCAAACGUCAAGGGACGACCAAUACGUUCGACGAAUAGUCGCUUAUAUGCCUCAUGUGUCUAUGCAUGCCUAAAUCUGUAUGAAAUUAGACUAAUAAGUAAUUUAAUGGUUUGAAAUGAUGUUUAAUGUUGUUAUAUGAAUUUUCGUGAAGCUUAGAUGUUGAACGCACAAGAACGUCCAAGGCGUUCGAAAGAUAGCCCCUAAGACGUUCAUCUAUGUCAUGUUGGGGCCAAGUCUGUUUGGACGUCUUAUAGGUGUUUGUUUUGGAUGAAAUUUAUGUGGAAGGUCUAUAACUUGUUAAGGUUUGUAAUCAUGUUGGAAACUUCCGGGAACAACUUCUAAAGGGCUCCUCAAGAGGCCCCAAAAGAAGGACCCAAAGCAUCCUAAGACACUACCUUGGCAGUGUCCAAUGAAGUACCCCACGACGGAUGCCUGUGACGGUCCGUCGUGGCUGUGACGCCCCAUCACUGCCUUCAUCACUGAUGGUCUGCAAGUGGUAGUCUGCGUCUCUUUCAUUAAAGGGGUCAAUGGGAAAUUCACCCCACGUCUUAACCUGAUUAUUAAGGGGUUAUUUAAGUGAUUUUGGGUGUAUAUAAGUCAUCAAAAACGUGAUCACCCCGUUCUAGAAUCCUCUCACAAGAUUGAAACCUUUCCCUCCAAAAAUGUUCUCGCUAAAACCACCAUUGUUGGUGAAUCUCAAGAACAGAUUCAAGCUGGGUUUUCCACGGAUGAAUCAUCAAGUUUAAGAGGUUUUCAACUAAUCAAAGGCAUGUUGAUCUUCAUCUCUAGUUAUCUUUUCAUCUAGAGAGAUUCUCAAUAUUUUUCAAAGAAAUCUUAUAAUCAAGUUUCCAGUCUUCCAAUCUAGCCAUGGGUUUUUUCUCAAAACGUUUUUAAUGAUUAAAUCAUGAUGAAUUGAAGUUAAUAUAAUGAUUUUAACGUGAUUUCACUCCAAUUUCAUGAUGAACCCAUGUUCCUUCCAAAAUUGGUUUAGCUCUUGUGGGCUUUGUGAUCAUGGCUUGUUCUUGAUUAACUGGUGAUUCUCUUACAUUGAAUUGCUUGUGUUUAUUGUAAUUUAUGUUAAUUGAUGGUGAAUUUAUGAUGGUCAGUCCAUCAUGAAAAAUAUAUGAAGAUUUGAACAUGAAUAGCCUAUGUUUUUACAUGUUAUAUUGAAAUCGAUUGUGAGAUCGUUUGUGUAAGGUUGUUAUUUUGUAUGAACUUCUGUAGAUAUUGUUUUAGAGUGAUAUAAUGGAUGAAUUUUGUAGGUAUAAGUCUGUAAUGAACAAUCUAAUAAAGUCUUGCAUGAAUUGAUUUAUAUUCCUUUAGGCUAUGAAGUCAAAUAGCUAAGUGAAUGAUGGAUUUCAAAUUGUGCUUAGAUGAAGCAUGAUUUUGUCUUGAUUCUUAUCUAAUUAGUUACUGACUAAUGAGUGUAUUGUUGUUAAAAUAUUAAUGAUUAUCAAAGCCUUAGAGAGUUCAUGGUAUUGGUAAAGUCUUCUAUACUCUAGCAAAUAGAUAAGCCUACAUGCCUAUGUUGUAACCUUAAUCUUGAGGGUAUGUAAUAAUGAUUUCAAAAUGGUUAAAUAUAGGUUUAGCUACUGCCUGAUAAUCAUAAUAUGUAUGAAAUAUGAUCAAAAUCAAUUAAAUUGAAAUUAGAUAAUGACCUAUGUUAUUCUACUUUCCCAGUAUGUUGAUAUGUUGUAUUAUGAUAUAGUACAAUCUUGUAGCGACUUGUACAUGAUUUCUUAUGUUUUUAAAGUACAUUUAGCUACUGACAUAUAUGUGAAUUAUCGAUGCAUAGGGUGUAUUGAUCAAUGAUGAUAAAAAGACGAGAAAUUGGUAAGAAUGCUUAUUCCCUUUACUCUUCUACUUCUCUAUUUCUGUAUAGUAAUGUUGAUGAAGCCUUGUAUGGCAUUGUAUGGUAUGGUCCACUUAUGGUGGCAGUGAAUAUCUUAUUGUCAUUAGAUAUAUGUUUACCAUGGCCUUGAAGUCAAAUUGAUGAAUAUAUGAUUUAGAGAUUUAGAUGAUCGCCUUAUGAUGUAAUUGUGUCUAUCUUCCUAUCUAGUUGUGAUCUAGGUUGUGUGGCUAUUGUAUGAUCAUGUGUAUAUUCAUGUUAGAGUAUUGUAUAGGUGCUUCCAUUGAUGUGUUAAAAUAUUUAGUGGCCCCUACCCAUGUAGCCCUUAUAUGAAAGUGUAAAUAGCUAAAGUUAGAGCUUUGGUUAUAAUGUUUAAAUUGACUUGCCUCCUAUGCUAAUAUGUGUUGUGUCGUAUGUUCUUGGAAGUAUAAUGUGGUCUAAUAGGGUCUCUGCCUCAAGGAGUAAUUAAUAGACAUUAUGUGAUCAUGUUAACCAAUGUACACACACACUUACAUGCAUGUUACAAGUAGUAUAGGUUAAGGUGUCUAAAUGAAAGGUUGUUCUCAUAUUCACUAAUGUCUACUACUAUGCAUGUAAAGUAUAUGUAUGUGAAGUAUGUUAUGUAUUCCUUGCUAGGAUGACAUGAUAGGUGUACUAGUAUGGGCAAGGGUAUGGUACCUUGUCUAUACAUUGCACAUGUGUAUCUUGAUAGGAUAGAUCCUAUGUUUGGUUUCUAUUUAUAUGAAAGAUGACAUUAUGAAUAUGUUAUGAAUAUGACUUAUAUUCUAUGAUGUUUAAGUAUAUGAUAUGAUGAAGUGUUAACGUGCAUAGUGUCUUGGAGUGUUGAUAUGAAAGGAUUGCUCAUAUAGGUACACAUAUAGACUUAUGCAUUGAUAUAUGAACUUGUAUGACUUAAUGUGUUAUGUGAAAGGUUUGCUCACAUAUAUGUAUACACACACACAUGUUUGAAGAUCUAGUCAAGAGAAGGGAUUUGAAUGGUGUAUCCAUGUGUUCCUUAAACUAGAUGAUGCUUUACAUAUGUUAUGUUCAUGUGAAUGGAUUCUUUACAUGAUGUAGGUUGAUGAACCUCCAUAUAUGACCUAUGAGUUAAGAAUAUAAGGUAAUGACUCUCUUAAACCUAUGAUUUAUAAAGCAAAAAUAUAAUAAAGUUUUUCAAUAAAAGACAACUUAGCUUAGCACCGAGUGAACUUGAAAUGAGUGUGUAUCCCUUCCCAUGGUAGGAAGGUAGGUCACCAUAAAUCUCAUGAGGUGGAUAACCAAAAUGCCUCAAUGGGCAUAAAUAGAGUUUCCAUAAGUGAAUAACUAAAUUGCCUAAUCUUGGCAUAAAGAGGGGUUUCACAUGUACAUCCAAGUUCCAUAACUAUGUUGCCACCAUAGGAUACUAGCUAGUGGAUUCCACCUAGAAAGAUAUGUCUCAUUUGGUUCUACUUUGGUCGGUAGACCACCCUUUAUCGGUGUGGGGUUUUAUGACACUGGAUUCCAUGUUUAGCAUCACAUGGUCUAUGUCGGUUAAGGCUAUAGUUUCCCUAAAGUAAAAUGGACAAUGGAAGUUAAUGACUAGGACCCUAAAUAGAAUGACUAAGGGAGGUUACUUAGUAUAGGUGGAAGUAAUGAACCCAUCUAGACAUUGCACAUGUAUCCCCUUAGAAAGUUCUGAGAAGGUGUACUAAUGCAUGUUACUAUGUAUAUGUUGCCUAUACAUGACAUUGUAGUAUUUGUCUACCUGUUAUAAUGAUGUGCAUGAUAUGAGUCUUUAUACAUGAUCUUGAUCUUGUUGACUAUAUGAUGAAGCUCUUGACUUAACUAUGUCUACGUGGUAUUAUACUUUGGUGAUGGUAUGUGUUGUAUUGUGUAUAUGAUAUGUAUGAUUGUCCUUGUGUUCCUAAGGAUAUACAUUGCACUAAGUAUCCCUAAAGGACUACUUGGGAGAUUAAUGAAUUAAAAGGAAGGGUUCACUGUAAAGAGGAAUGAGCUUACUGUAAAGUGACCUCAAAUUGGACUUAAAUUCUAUAUGUGCUUUUCUAUGAUGUUUGGCCUUUGAUUGUGUUUCUAUGAAGUAUGAAAAUGAUAUAUAUGCUAUUGAUAAAGGUUUUAUGAUUAUUUACUCAAAAUGGCAUGAAGUAUGAUUUCAAAGAAAAUGUCCCUUUUAAAUGCACGUUUUUGCAUGGUUGCCAUACUUAGUACAUUCUUGUGCUAAUCCCAUUCUUCUCUACUUUUUACACAAAGUGUAGGUGAUGGAUGCUUGAAGGAUGUCUUGAAGGGUGAAGAGAUUGAUAGGUGAUUUCCCAAGCUCAAGGAUAGGAAUCCUUAAGUCCAAGGAUGUCCUCAUGUGUACUUAUUGUAAAGUCUAUUAAAUAUUAUAUAGUUUGUAUAUGUCUUAAGGGUCGUGUCCCUAAUGUACUUCCAAUGUUAUUAAGUUUAAGAUGGAAAAGAGACUUAGAGUCUAUAUAUGUAUUAUGACUUAUAUUUUAUAUGUAUAUGAAGUAAAGUUUCUAGCAUAUGAGGUGCUAUGAAAAGUUUUAAAUUUUUCGCUAAAUUUACUAUGUCGAUGUGAUAAAUGAUAACUAUGGGCUUGUAUAAGGCCUCCGAGAGGUCAAGUACGUCUUGUUACUUCUAGGGGGUGCUCCCCGGAUGUGACAUAUAGGGUCCUUUAGAUCAAUACCACAAUUACACCAUAGUCAUAGAAUUUCACUCUUAAGGUGAAUUAUAAGCUUGUGCACCAUUCUUAUAUACAUGUAAAAUCCAUAUAAAAUACCCUUCAAGGAUCGUGGAUCAUGGUACGUCAAUAUCUCUACAAUUACUUCAUUGAUCAUGUAUAAUAACCUAAUUCAAGUAAUCAAUUUAUCACAUUCAUAAUUACAUCACAUUGUACUAACAUUGAUUCACACCCACAAUUUGAGAUCCAAUUCUGGGGAAAUAGGUAAAUUAUGGAUUCUUGGAUAAUUCAUCUUGAAACCAGUGGUAAUUCAUCAAUUUUAUCAUAAUACAGAACAAUUAUAAUAUAGGAAUCAUUUUACAAGAGAACGUGACUUAGAUUGAAAACCGUAGCUUUUGUGGAUUUCUAGAUUUGAGACAGAAGAUUUUGAAGGGGCUCCAAGGGUGAUGGCUACCCAUGGAUUAAAACUACCACACCUUUAUUAUUAAUAUUCAAAAAAUUUGAUAAAUAAAAACCUUGAUUUCUUCAAGACCAAGCUUCAAUUUUGCUCUUCUUCUUCUUGGAUUUCUAGGGAAUGAAAUAUUGUGAGGAAGAUGAACUUUUUUUUUUAUUUGGGUGUUUGUGAAAUGAUUCAGUUUGGAUAGAAUUUAACUUAAAAUAUUUUAUAUAGUUGUUUAAAAAUUCUAUAAAAUAUACCCAUUUUUAUUGGACUAAAAUAGGAAAUUAUGAAAUCGCCCCUCACCCAAGUGGACUGUCCCACACCUAAGGCAAAGUCUCGGGGUCUUCACGGGCAGUGGACUGCUCCACGUGUCGUGGUCCCUCAUGUGGACUUGUGCCUUUGUCUUGUGGAUAUGAGGCAUGGUCCACGAGGGCUCUUCACAACAAUGGAGUCCCCCAUGCCAUGUGAACCCUCAUUUGUACUUGCCUUCUCACCUAGAUGGCUAAGGAAAUUCUCAAGAGGGAUCUUCACGGGCAGUGAACUCCUCCACACCUCGUGAACCCCUCACAUGAACUGCCUCCUCACCCAAAUGGCUAAGGCAUUUGUCCACCAGGGCCUUCAAGGGGUAGUGAAGUCUUUCACACCCUGUAAAGCUUGAUAUGGACCAUUCCCUUUGCCUACACAGCCAAGUCAUGGUUCCACGAGGGCUUCCAUCGGCAAUGGAGCCUUCCGCCUGCUAUUGUCCCUUCCAUGGAUAGUGUACUUAGAAACCAUUUUUGGGGCAAAUGUUAGGGUUCCCCUCAAUGACCCUUAGUUUCUUUUUGGGGGGGUUGUACCUUCACGUUUAACCCAAAAUACAGCAGUUGAAAAUGGUUAUUUACAACUUUAACCUUAAUGUUAGACCCCAAGUUAGGCUACUAUUUCAUACAUUAAAUUCUAAAAUUAUUACAUUAGGCUCUAGUUUAACCUACUAAUUUUCUAGAUCUUAUAGUAUCUCCCCUUUGGGAACAUUCGCCCUCGAAUGACGAUCUAGACACCCUAUUGAAUCAAAACACAAUAUUAGCAUCCCGUCAUGCAUGAGACAUCAAAAGAAUGCACAACUUUAAGGAGGAAACAUCAACUCCAUCUCAACACAAUUAAUGCAACACAAGGAAGUAGCAAAUACAUCUAUCAACAUGUUAUACAUGAAAACUCGUUAUUUCACAUAAUAGUAGAAGGAACUACCUUCUCCAACAAAAGAAAACAAACAUGACUUUUUUUAAGAACAUGCAUAAUCAAAAGGAAAUCAAGUAAAAAAAACACAUAAAACAUGACUCCCAAAGCUUAGCAACUCAAGAGGAACUACUUACCUCAAACUUGAAUAGGAGUAGAAGGAAAAAUAUGAGGUUUACAGGAUUUCAUAUCGACCUUGGCCUCCCAAGUAGCCCCCUCAACUAAAUGAUUUCUCCAUAAAACCUUCACGCAAGAUACUUUCUUGUUUCUCAAUAUCUUAACUUGUCAGUCAGGGAUCUCUACCAGAACCUUUUCAUGGGAAAGGAUUUCAUCAACUCCCAACCCUUCUAGAGCAAUAAUGGAUAUUGGGUCACAAUUACACUUUUAAAGCAUAAAAACAUGAAAUACUAGGUGAAGGAAUCAAACUCAUUCGGCAUAGGUGAGAUUUUCAAGUAGACCCAUUCAUUUACUUUAAAUUCUAUAUCCCUUCUUCUGACUUUGUCAUAAGAAUUUUGCCAACUUUUGGUCGUAUUUAACCUCUCCCCAAUGAGUCAAACCUUCUUAAUAGCCUCAUAAACCAAUUUGACACCAAUUAGAGAAAUUUCACCUACCUCAAACCAACCCACCAGACUAUAUCGCCCGCCAUUCAAGGCUUCAAAGAAAGUCAUGAUGAUACUUGAGUGGUAGUUAUUCUUGUAGGAAAACUCAAUCAACGGUAGAUGGUCAUCACAAUUACCCUUGAAGUAUAUCACACAUUCUCUCAACAUAUCAUCCAAGGUUUGUAUGGUAUUUCCCACCUUCCCAUAGGUUCGGGAAUGAGAAGUCGUGUUAAGCUUAAACUUAGUACCAAGCCCCUUUUGGAAUGCCUUUCAAAAGUGUGAAGCAAAUUGAGUACUCCAACAAAAAUGAUAGAUAAGGGAACUAUGCAACUUCACUACCUCCUUUACAUGGCAUAGUCUUCCAUCGAAAAAAGAACCUUGACAGAAAUGCAAUGAGAUGAUUUUGUCAUGUAGUCUAUGAUUACCUAAAUAGAAUCAUGUUGUCUUCGUACAAGGAAAUCCCACAAUAAAAUCCAUAGUCACCACCUCCCACUUCCAAGUGGGAAUAUUUAUAUCUUGGGACAAGCCUCCCGGUCUACGGUGUUCGGCCUUAACUUGAUCACAAUUCGAACAUUUGGCUACAAAAUUUGCAAUAUCUCUUUUCAUGUCAUUCCACUAGUAGACUUCCCAUGUAUUACGAUACAUCUUGGUGGAUCCCGGAUGAACAGAAUAUUUAGAACCAUGAGCCUCUUCUAGAAUUAGCUCUGUCAAGGCAUGAACAUAUGGAACACAUAAUUGACCUUGGUACCUAAGCAUCCCAUAUCCCCCUUACGAUAAAGCAUCAACGGACUUUAAGAGUACCGACUCUUUCAAUUCAACUAGUAUAGGAUCAAGGUCUUUCUUUUCCUUAACAUCCAUUAUAAAGGAGGAUUUGUAACCAUGACUAUGACACCACUCAUUGUGGAAUCAACUAGAUGAACACAUAGUCGGGCAAAUGCAUAUCACCAACCAAUUCCUUCUUUUCAUCUUCUAUAUGAGUCAAACUACCCAUAGACAAUCUACUUAGAUCAUCCUCUACUAUAUUAGCUUUGCCAACCCGGAUAAUAAAGGACACUCAUGUCAUAGGAGCAUACUCUACUACAUUAGCUUUGCCCGAAUAAUAAAGGACACUCAUGUCAUAUUCCUUCAACAAGUCUAACUAUCUUUUUUGCCAAAGGUUCAAGUCUUUUUCUCUAAACACAUAUGGAGACUCUGAUGAACGGUGAAAACAUCAACAUGCACCACGUAUAGAUAGUGCCUCGACAUUUUCAAGGCAACACAACUCCUGCUAAUUCACGAUCAUGGGUCGGAUAGUUAUUUUCAUGAUCUUUGAGUUGCCUCACAGCAUAGUUAAUCAUUUUACCAUUUUGCAUGGACAUACAUCUUAACCCAACUCUAGAGGAAUCACAAUACACCAUAAAAUCAUAUGUAUCCUCCGGUAAGGUCAACACCAGAGCGGAAGUAAGUCUAUCCUUUAAUUCUUAAAAGAUUUUCUCACACUUUUCAGACCAUAUAAAUUUUGCUUUGUUUUGAGUCAAACCCAUCAAAAGAGAAGAAAUGGAGGAAAAUUCCUUGACAAAUCUUCUAUAAUAACCGGUCAAACCAAAAAAGCUUCUAAUGUUGAUUGGAGUAAAAGGUCUAGGCCAAUUCUUGAUCACAUCCGUCUUCUUAGGAUAUACUUUAAUACCUUUACUUGGCACAAUGUGACCAAGGAAUGCUACGAACCUUAGCCAAAACUCACAUUUGCAAAAUUUUGCAAAAAAUAUUAUGUUCCUUAAGGACUCGAAAUUCCACCCUCAAAUGGUUGACAUGUUUUUUCUCACUCCUAGAGUAUAUGAAGAUAUUAUCAAUUAACACAAUGGAAAACCUGUUAAGAUAGUGUCCGAACACCCUAUUCAUAAGAUCCAUGAAUGCCACCGAAGCGUUUCCCAACCCACAAGAUAUAACUAAGAACUCAUAGUGAUCAUAUCUCAUUCAAAAAGUCAUAUUUGAGAUGUCAACUUCCCUAACCCUUUAUUGGUGAUAACUUGAACAAAAAUCUAUCUUUGAAAAAUAACUAGGCCCUUGAAGUUGGUCAAAUAAGUCAUUAAUUCUCAAAAAUUGGACGCUUGUUCUUAAUGGUCGUGUAUUCAAUUAACGAUAUUCAAUACAUAUUCUAAGAGACUCAUCCUUCUUAACGAAAAAUAGUGAGCACCCAAAGAGGAGAUGCUUGGUCGAAUAAAGCAUUUGUCUAGCAAGUCCUUAAGUUUCUCUUUCAACUCCAUCAACUCCGUCGGAGCCAUUAUAUAAAGUUGAAUGGAUAUAGGUUGUGUAUCCGGAAUAUGGUCAAUACAAAAAUCUAUUUCCCUUUCGGGAGGAAUACCAAGUAAAUCGUGAGGAAACACUUCCAGUAACUUAUUUACUACCUGAACUGACUCUAGAUGAGGGGUUUUAGAAUCAACAUCAUUCCCCCUAACAAAAUGAUAGCCAUACCCUCUAGAUAUCAUCUUUAUAGCUUUAAGACAAGAAACAAAUUAAUCUAUAUGCAUUGAAUUUCCACUCUUCCACUCUAAAAUAGGUUCCUUCGCAUAUUAGAGUUAACCACCCAAAUUCGACAAUCAAUAGAAGCAUAACAUGCAUUCAACCAAUACAUACCAAGAAUCACAUCAAUAUCUAGCAUGUCAAGUUUUACCGAGUCAAUAAUAGUGACUCUAAGAUACAAGGAAACGGGACAUUUUAUAUAAACCCUAUUUUCCAUCAUCGAAUCACCAAUCGGAUAGAAACCAAAAAAAGUACUAUAAUUCUUCCGAGGAAACAUUAAACCUCAUAGACACAUAAGGUGUCACAAAUACAAAGUAGUUUCGGGGUCCAAUAAAACAUAAGAAUCAAUAAGGAAAACUUUCAAAAUACUGGUUAGCACAUCUGGUGGUCUCUCUUGGUCAUCUGGGGAUCAAUGAGAACACAAAUGGUUUUACUUUUGAGUAGUGGGGAUUGAAUUACUUAGAGGAGAUUGUUUGUAUUCUCUCCCCUUGGUUGUAUGUGUUGGGAAAUACUUUAAUUGAUGACCACUUGUACCACAACCAUAUAAAAUGCCCAUGCCGACUAGGAACUUGUCAUCAUGCCUUUUCCAUAUUUGGCCCAAGUAGGUUUUGUCGUAAUUGUUUUCUUUAUAAUGACCUCGUUGAGGAUUUGGGUUAGACACCCUAUUUUGUUGCCCUUUGAAGAACUAUAGUGGUCUUGGUUAAAUAAUAUUUUCUUCAACCUUGGUCUUACUUGACCCUCGAAUUUACCCUUGAAAAAAUUCCCAUCACCGGCUCUCGCCUUUUUAUGCCUCUCUAUUCUUCUUCCUAAAUCUUAACUCCUCAAUUUGUUUUGCAUAAACUUUGUGACUUAAGAUAUUCAUAUUAUCAUGGAACAGAGCCGAAUGACUAUUACUCAAUCAAGUCAAACACCCUCAUCAAUAGCCUAUUGAUCUCAUCCCUCUGAUUCGGCAUAAAAUAUGGAGCAUAUUUGGGCAAUUGAAUAAAUUUUAGGGAGUUGUCCUUCAUAUUGAUAUUCCCUUGACGAAGAUUGAUAAAUUCUUCAACUUUAGCUUCCAUCAACUCUCAGGGACAGUAUAUAGCAAGAAACAUUGAUUUGAAAACUUCGCAUUCUAAGGGACCUGCUCCUACCGACCUAUUGUAUUUCCAUUGUUUAGACCAUAUUUGAGCCACACCUUUCAGUUGAUAAGCGGGUAAUUUUUACUUUUUAACUGAGGUCCCUUCAAUGAUGUCUAGUAUUGUGUACAACUCUUCCACAAACUCUUAAUUAUACUCUCCCCCUUUUGUCACAAAAAUUUUGGGGGGUUCAUCCUAGCAAAGUCUCUUAUCCUUAAAGUGGUCGUAUUCACGUUAGGGUUCACAUGACGCUAGCAUCCCUAUAGUCUUGAUACGACAUAGCUUGUGCUUGAGUUGACACAGCUUAAGUCAAUAUUUGGAGAUCCGACAUUAUUUCCACAUUUGACAGAGUCCCCUCAUCAAUAAGAUCUUGAGUAACUUUAGGAUGUUGGGGAACUUUGAAAAACACUCCCUCAUAAACAUUCUCCUCUUCCCUUCUUCUUAUGUUCUUGUAUUCAUUUACUGGAGAUAAAGUGAAGGGUUAUGAAAUGACUUUAUAGAGUUAAAACUCUAAGUCACAACUAAAGAGUAAUGAAAGAAAUGAGAUUUCCUAAACAUCUUAUAGCCUCUCAUUCAUAAAUGUGGCAUGCUUCACACUCAUAAACAAGACUAUACUAGGUGUGGCUUAUGAAACUUCAUCCUAAUAUCAUUCUAAACCUUGUGCUCUUAUUACCAAGUUUGUCAAAACCCAGCGGUACCCCCUAGAUGUACCACAGAGUACUCGACCGCAAAUGGGUAUCAUGCAAUCCCUUAGCAACAUAACAUAAGAGAAAUUAUAUAGAACUAAAAACUUUUUAUAGUCGAAGUCUUAUAUAAAACCACAUAGAAGUCUAGAAAUCGUCUCACAAGCCAUCUAUUACAAUAAAAUAAAAAGUAGGGUCACAACCCUUACAAUAGUUUCUAAUGGGAAAUGAAAGAAAUAAAAUAAGAAUAACUCUUGUACUCAAACAAUGAGGACUCACCAAAGCAAGGAGAGAAUCAAUCCAAGCUUUCAAACGAAGGAGAAGAAAACCUCAACAACCGGUACUACACUCAUAGAAAAAUGUAGAAAAUACGGGUUAGUACAGAAAUGCACUAAGUAUGGUAGAUAUGCAUAAAAUCAUUGAAAACAUGCUAAAAAGGACAUUUUAUUUAAAACCAUGCUUUUAUCAAGCUUAAGAGUCGCCAUUCACAUUAGUGUAAAAAUAUAAGUUAUACGAUCUCAUAAGUAACCCUAAGCUAUACUUGCGUUGUCCGCCCCGAGCCUAGACCCUUGACAUGGACGGCACUCAAUGACCAUUACUAGCCUUUAACGUACCGUAGGCUUGGCUUACUUAACUCAGGAAAAGUCAACAAUCAAUGCAUUAAUGAUCAAAGAACUGAACUAAACCAAAUAAUAAGAUAACUAGAAUAUUUUAAAGAUUUAAACAUCCAACUUGGACAAAUGGCAACCCAAUUCUUUAACAUAAGAAUGAUAAGUUAAACAUUAGUAAACUACUAACUGUCUAUCUAUGAAGACUUCUAAAAUUGACAUGGAUGUUGGGACAGACCCCACAAUAUCCUAUAAAAGGAAAGAUUGAAAGCAAUAAAUGUGUCCUCCGGUAUGCAAGGAGGCUCACCAAUGACUCUGAGUUCUCAGUUGUAUCAAGAAGGCGUUGGAUGAUAUUGAUCCUGAUUACCUGCGUCUGCAUCAUGAUAUGAUGCAGUCCAAUUAGCAUCACUACAUUGAAUGUAAGAGUAUGCGAGUUGAAAUUCUAACAACAUAGGCUAUAAAAGAAGUCUUGAGAAACACUUACCUUUGUCAUGCUCAACUUAUGAAUAACUAACUCAUUUCAAUAUAAAGCAAUUUAAAAACAAGUGUAAUAUAAAUAAAAUUAUUUGAAAACAAUUUGUAAACUCUGAAUGUAUACAAGGAUACAAGUAACUUUGAUAUGUAUGUAAAAUACAAUUAAACUGAUACAUAGAUAAAAUACAAUACUUCUUUGGGAAUUCUCUAACUGACACCAUCACAGUGAUGAUACAGCGAUCUACCUCACGCUACCAGCGCAAACUAUACCCAGCCAAAGGCAUAAAACCUGAAUUGCGUAAUGGAUGCACUAGUCUACUGUGAAAAGAUUCAUCUAAAAAGUAUGACCCUAAUCUACACAUGGUGGCUACAUGAUUUAUGGGGGUUGUGAGUUGUCUAAACUCUCCCCCAUAUCAAUGCUCAAUACUACUCCUUAAAUAUACUAGCUCUUAUUUUUUUAAAAAUAUAUUGAUUUUGUGGCUUGAGAUUAGUGCUCAAAACAAAAGCUCAAAGGCUAUCUUGGAAAUAUCAAUUUCCUUGCUUGCUUUAUUUAGAAAGUGAUUUCUCUUUAACUGAAAACAAGAUCAAAGGCUCUUUGGAAAUAUCAAUUUCUCUUCUUUCAAAUGUGAAAACAUUUUUAUGUUCUUUUUGGAAUACUUUGUUUCCAUAUACUUCUUUGAAGGAAUACUUCACUUUAAUCUGAACUGAACUCGAGCUUAAGUCUUAAAAUGACACAUAAAACAUUUUUGAAAGACUUACGAAACGUGAAACGAACUUCUCUUUCUUUUUUUUAGUCCUUUAAAUCUUAAAACAAGUUUAGAGUAUUUGCAAAAGACUCAUGAAUGAACUUUAAGAGAUCUUUAAACUUUACUCUAACUUUUCCUUGUAUUUGGAUUUAUGGAUUCAAGGUUGUAAAUUUGUAUUUCUAGAUGAUUUCUAUAUGAUUAGAAGUCAUUUAGAGUAGUUAGAAUUAUUAUUAAGUGUUAAAACACCUUAGAAGGGCUUAAUCAGACUGAACUAGGUAAACUUGGCGAAAAAUGUCGAUUUGGGCACGUUAAGGGUGCGCCGCGCCAGACCAUUUCGUCUGAGGCACCACUUUGGCGCACGGCAGGUGUGCUGCCCUUGGUCUCUAGCACAAAUGGGGCGCGCCGCGCCUAGUGCUACCCAGAUGCGUCUAAACAAUUUUCUUCUCUCAUUUUCUUAUCCUAAAUCGCCUAAACCUCCAUAGUUCUUUUCCAGAACCCUUAGGAUUAUUAGUACCUUAAAUAACCCAUAGAUGUAACUUGAAAAACAGUUCUAAAUUACGAAUCAAAGCAACAAUAGGCAUUCAACAACUCAAUCAACAAGAAUUCAACCAUGUCUUUCAAGAACAUCAUUAUUCUUAUUCAACCAAUUCAAAAAUCAAAGGAUUUAAGAAAGAUUGUUGUGUGGGUGAACUGCCCCAACAGUGAAAGAUCUCACAUACCUUAAUAGGGAUCACUCCCGACAAAUUCCACUCGCUCUUUUGGUGUUCUUGGCAAAUCCUUAACUUUUUCUCUCUUCUCUUUUUCUUUUCUCUCUUCUCCAAUCCCUAAGCGUGAUUUUGAUUUUCUAAUCUGAACUAAAAUUAUUUUUAACCCAAAUAAAUUCCUAAGACUAAAUGGGAAAUUAAUUGAUGAAAAUAUUAGUUUGCCCUUCCUUAAAUCUGGAUUGGAACUUUCUUUACUUCAACAGCGCAACUUCCUAUAAGAAUAUCUCUCUCAUACAUUAUCAAAAAUACAAACUCAGCGGCGUCAUACUAUGAUGAUGAAUCUUCAAAUAAUUUGAGGAAAAUCCAUUGACUUAUCCAAGCCCAAGCUUCACUCUUGCUCUUCUUCUUUUUGGGUUUCUAGAGAGAGAAAUAUUGAGAGGAAGAUGAAAUUUUGAUUUUGAUUUGGGUGUUGUGAACACGAUUUAGUUUGGGUGUAAUUUAACUUAAAAUAUAUUACAUUGUUAUGUAGGAAUAUUAUAAAAUAUACCAAUUUAAUUGGACUAAUAAUUGGAAAUUGUGAAAUUACCGCUUACCCAAGUGGAUUGCCCCACGCCUAAGACAAAGUCCACGAGGGUCUUCAUGGGAAGUGGAAUUCUCCACAUGUCGGGGUCCCUCGCGUGGAAUUGUUCCAUUGGAUUUUGUAGACAUUUCACAAGGUAUCUUCCCAGACAGUGGAGUCUUCCACGCCACGUGAACCCUCAUAUGGACUUGCCUUGUCGCCUAGAUGGCUAAGGAAAUGUUCGUGAGAGAUCUUCACGGGUAGUUUACUCCUCCACGCCUCGGGAAUCCCUCACAUGGACUGCCUCAUUAUCAAAAUGUCUAAGGUAAUUUUCAUGAGUGUUCUUCACGGACAGUGGACUCCUCGCCUCGUGAAUCCCUCAUGUGAACUGCCUCCUCUCCCAAAUGGCUAAGGGAUUGGUCCACGAGUGCCUUCCAUGGGCAGUAAAGGCCUUCACGCCUUAUGAAGCCUCAUGUGGACCAUGGCCUUUGCCUGCAUGGCUAAGGCAAGGUUCCACAAUGGCUUCCACGGAAAUUGGAGCCUUCCACCUAUCGUGGUCCCUUGUGUGGACAAUGUACGUAGACAUUGUUUUGGGGACAAAUGUUAGGGUCCCCAUCAAGGACGCUUAGUUGGUCCUUGGGGGAUCGUACCUUGACGUUUAACACCAAACAACCCUAUUGAGUACCGAAGGUUAUUUACGACUUUAACCUUAAAGUUGGACUCCAAGAUAGGCUACUAGUUCAUACAUUAAAUUCUAAAAUUGUUACGUAAGCCUCUAGUUUCACCUAUUAAUUUUACGGGUGUUACACUCAUGAUCCUUGUGCAGCAAGUGUUAACAUCCCUUUGAGAGGGCACAACGUCGCAUUGACUCAAUUUUAAAAGAGGUAAAAUGAAUUUUUAAGAAAGGGUAAAAGGGAUUUAAAGGGAGUUGCUACCUAAUAUUAGAAAAACUAGAUAACUAAUUAGUUAGCUUAAAGAAAAUGUAUACAAAACCAAAAGAUUUUAGGUUAGGCAUCUUUCGAAAUCCACAAAUACGGGUCCCGACUGGGUUCAUUUUUUCAAAUUGAGGAGAUAGCAAUAGUAUACAAGUAUAAUAAAGAUAUGAUAUAUACUAGUAAUAAAAUAGAACAAGAAUAUAAAAAACGAUCUAAGGUUUGUCAAACAUCAAUAUAUACAGGACAAUAAAUAAAGAAUGUAAUUCGAAUUUCCUUAGAAUAACUUCAAUGAGAAGCAACUUCGUAUAUAUGUAAAUACACUUAAUAAAAGUGUUAGUAAUAAACAAAUAUGAACAAAAACAAAUAAAUUAAAUAAUUACUUAUAAAUUAAAAUUUGUCUUAUUAACAUGGAAGGCCUUGGAAAUCAAUCAUUUUUUUUCAUCGGCCAAAUCUAACUAAGAAACAAUAAUAACAGCCAAAUCCUACAAUAUAAUAACUUAAAUAUAAAACAUAAUCAUAUAAAAAAUAAUCAAAUAUAAAACAAUAUAACAUUAAUUGAAGAAAAUAUCAAUACAAAAUAUAUGAACAGUAUCCAUAUAUUGACCAAAACUAUACAAAAACAAAGAACAACCAAAAUAAUAACAACAUUUAAUGUGACAAGUGGCGGAAUACUUAAAGUAGUAGACAACACAAAAAUCUAACCAAACAAAACCAAACUAAAAAAACUAUAAUUAAAAAAAUAACAAAAUUAAAAACAAAGCAACUAAGAUAAAUGGAACAAACAAAAAUCGACCAUUAUAACUAAAAUAAAUAAAUAAACCAAAUGAACAAAAGACUCAUAUCUCUGGAAAUAUCAAAGUAAAGUUAAAUAAAAAACAAAUUGCAAAGCUUAUUGGAGACAAAGAUAACACCUGAGUUUGUGACUAAGUAACAAUUUGUUAGCACUGGUGAUUUUAUCCAAUGGUAAGAGAGCUUCGUUGGUGCAAAAUCUGGAUAAAUUGUUGUGGUUUACCGACAAUAGAGCCACGCCGGAGCUGGAGUGGGAGCUCGUUAGAACAUCAAGAAAUACCUGCAAAACAGGAGAACAGAGGUAAAGGGGAGAAGGGAUGAGGACUUGUUUGUUCCAAUGUACAAAAUCCGAGAGUGAAAAUUGUUUUUGAUUUUGGUAUUGCUCAGUUACUGGUGGAGUUUUGGGUCUAGUUUUGCUGGAAAUGGCGUCAGGCGUAGAUUGGUUUCAUUUGUUGGAAAAUAUGGGGAAUGUGGAUCUGAUGUUUAGUCAAAAAAUGGGUAUUGAACUAGUGGAGAUCUAGUGGUGUAUGCAGACCUAUUAGGGGUUGAUGGAGGUUGGUGGUAGAGAGAGCUUUUCGACCAAAUCUUGCCAAAAAUGGCAAAACUCAAGAUAGGAGAAAGAAACAGAGGUGGGUUUGGUUCACUGGAGGCAGUGAAGAGGGGUAUGGAGGUGAUGUGGUGAGCUCGUUCGGAGCUUGUUUUGUCAAAAAAUUAGGGGUGGGCAUUCGGUAGUUCGAUUGGUUCGGUUUUUUUGAUUUUGGUUAAUGAAUUUGUUAUACCGAACCGAAUUAGUUUGGUUCGGUUUUUUGUAAUAUGGUUUGGUUCGGUU
rnacentral:lncRNA from 1 species